rnacentral:lncRNA from 1 species
UAUAUAUUACAUUGUUAGUUUGUUCUAAAUUUGGUAACCGAAAUCCAAAUUUGAAUCCUACUUGAUUUACAUUUCUAGCUAAGUUUAUUUCUAAAUAAAAUAAACGAAGCGGAUAGCGUGCUAUUUAUCUUUCAUAAAAAAAAAAAAGUUUGUUCUAAAUAUUUUUUUCUUAAGAAGUGUCAAUUAUUUUCCGUUGACUUUACUUACUAUAUAAGUAGUUGAAAGUGGAACAUUCUGAUUUCAGUCUAUUGAAUUUAUUUACGAAAUAUUUGAAAAUUUUGUUUGUGAAAAUUUCUUCAAAGUAGAAAGGUGUUGAACUGAGAAUCAACA